UACGUAGGAUCCAAGCGUUGUCCGGAAUUACUGGGUGUAAAGGGUGCGCAGGCGGGCUUGUGCGUCGAAGGUUAAAUACCGUAGCUCAACUAAGGGAGUGCCUUCGAAACGGCGAGUCUUGAAUACGAGAGAGGUAGGUAGAAUUCCUGGUGUAGCGGUGAAAUGCGUAGAUAUCAGGAGGAAUACCAGUGGCGAAGGCGGCCUACUGGCUCGUUAUUGACGCUCAUGCACGAAAGCGUGGGGAUCAAACAGG
rnacentral:rRNA from 1 species